rnacentral:rRNA from 1 species
ACGGAAGGCAGCAGUGGGGAAUAUUGGGCAAUGGGCGAAAGCCUGACCCAGCGACGCCGCGUGAAGGAUGAAGGUCUUCGGAUUGUAAACUUCUGUCGACAGGGAAGAAACAAAUGGCGGUACCUGUUGAGAAAGCCACGGCUAACUACGUGCCAGCAGCCGCGGUAAUACGUAGGUGGCAAGCGUUAUCCGGAUUUACUGGGUGUAAAGGGUGUGUAGGCGGGAUUGCAAGUCAGAUGUGAAAAUUAUGAGCUUAACUCAUAACCUGCAUUUGAAACUGUAGUUCUUGAGAGUCGGAGAGGUAAACGGAAUUCCUGGUGUAGCGGUGAAAUGCGUAGAUAUCAGGAGGAACACCGGUGGCGAAGGCGGAUUACUGGACGACAACUGACGCUGAGACACGAAAGCGUGGGGAGCAAACAGGAUUAGAUACCCUGGUA